UACGUAGGGACCAAGCGUUGUUCGGAUUUACUGGGCGUAAAGGGCGCGUAGGCGGCAAUUCAAGUCAGCUGUGAAAUCUCCGGGCUUAACUCGGAACGGUCAGCUGAUACUGUUUUGCUAGAGUGCAGAAGGGGCAAUCGGAAUUCUUGGUGUAGCGGUGAAAUGCGUAGAUAUCAAGAGGAACACCUGAGGUGAAGACGGGUUGCUGGGCUGACACUGACGCUGAGGCGCGAAAGCUAGGGUAGCAAAC
rnacentral:rRNA from 1 species